GGAGAAGGCAAAGUGCAGAGGAAGGAGGAGCCACUGCUAGUGGGUACGAGGUUUCUUCUUGGUACAAGGACUUCUACGUUCUGUCCUCCUGCAGCCAUCUAAAAUCAGCCAGAAAGGUUUAGGAUCCCAUUUCCUGUUCUUGCAUCGGCUGUCCAAGCUGCUGUUCCUCUCUCCGCAGUAAGAGGGUGUUUCUCUCCCUGUUCAAGAGGAGCACCAACACUUGAGGACAGUAUCAUCCCUAGACCUUGGCAAGAGAGACCACUGAGUGAGGCAUCCAUGGAACCCAAGGAAGAGGCCUACGAAGAACCUGCAGUCACCUUCUAGACCAUUCUCCCUCACCAAACUGUCCCCUCCAGAGAGCUGAGGACUGGAUCUUCCCAUGCUGACACCUCCAGUGGGAAAGAAAAUUCUAGAUUCAGCUCUGGGUGUCCAAGUCAUUAUGAAGGCAUAUUUGUCAAGGUGGAAGAAAAGGACAUAUUCUAUUUAGCAGUUUGCAAUGUCCAGCCACCUACUAAUCGUAUGUGAUGGGGGGUGAGGAGGAGAUACUUUGCAUGGCCCCCAGUGACAAAGAAGAGGCCCUUAGCUAUAGCUACUCUUGUUUUAGAGGACAACUUCUCUUCACUGAGGACAACACAGAAUCCUGGAGAUAUUUUUGAUGAGUAGUAAUAAGGAACAGCGGAGCUUCCCCCUAAGACCCUGGUGUGUUUCUGCAUCAGGAAACCUUCUCUCCUGCAAUGUGUCGUUUAAGAUUGAACAACAUGGUGCCUUUGCCAGAAGUUAACAGGAAACCCAAAAGGAGAUGAGCCAGACUGGUUAGUUCAGAAGAGAAUCGUUGGGGAAGACAAUGGGAGCUGCUGUUUGAAUGUGGCCCUGAGAUUAUUUGUGCUUUUCAAUCCCAUGUUACCAAAACACAUUUCAAGCUGGCCUAUAAAUCACACCUUGUGCAUAAUUUUAAGUGGAUAAAUAUUUGUCGCCCAAGUGAAUGAUGCUUCCAGCUUUCAAAAAA
rnacentral:sRNA from 1 species